rnacentral:ncRNA from 1 species
ACACUCUGGAGAAUUUCACGUUUGUUGAAAGCCGAAGGUGCAAGGCGAUAAAAAGCCGAAUCUCUCAGGUAAACAGACAGAGCA